CUUAAAUCGAAACUUGGGAUGGCCGGUCAACUAAAUUUUCUCUAUCUUCGGCUUCCAAUCCAACUUCAUUCAUCAUCUUCGGUUCGGUUCGAGCUUCAUUCCUCGACUUGCAGGUUACUGGGGGACUGUGAUAUUCCUACUGCUGUUCCUAACUCUGAAAGUUGUCUCCAAGAAAACGUCGAGGUUGUGGGAAAUGCCUCAUAUGGGUCAAAGCUUUCACGAAGAAUUGCCUCUCUCAUGAGAUUUCGUGAAAAGCGGAAAGAAAGAUACUUUGAAAAGAAAAUUAGGUACAGUUGUCGGAAAGAGGUUGUUGAGAGGAUGAAUCGUAAGAAUGGACAAUUUACAUCAUCAAAGGAUUCUUAUAAUACAGAUGUUGUAAACUCAAAUUGAAGCAAUGGUGCUACUCUUGAACCUGUGUGAGCUUGAUUCUUACUUGUUAUGUGCAAAGUUCAGCUAUAAAAGCAUUGGAGUUGCCACUGGAUUAGUAGUCCUAAUUUUCCGUGGAUCCUUCCACCAGAGAGGUUGAAACAAAAGUUGCUUGGCCUACUGACAAAGUUGUCCUAGCUUUUCCAAAACAAUUUUAGGCCAUUUUUGUUGUAGUGAAAUGACCAUUAAUGAUCAAUGAGUCAUCUACCCAAAUCCACAAGAAGGAACGAAAAAUAAUUGGUGUCAUUUAUGUAAAAAGAGCCUAGGCACUAUCAAAGAGAUUGCCUGAAAUGACAGGCAUUGUGCGAAAAGAAAGGGAUUCCUUACAACCCAUACCAUAAACGCCAAUGAAAGGUUUGUGUUUGGGGAGAAUAGAGUCAAGGCACAAUUCAAAGCCAUUGGAACUGACAGUUUAAUUUUAGAUACUAGACAUCAUUUGGAUUUAUUCCAAACUCUUUAUAUAUCUACAU